GCAUAUCAAUAAGCGGAGGAAAAGAAACCAACAGGGAUUGCCUCAGUAACGGCGAGUGAAGCGGCAACAGCUCAAAUUUGAAAUCUGGCCCCCAGGGUCCGAGUUGUAAUUUGUAGAGGAUGCUUUUGGUGAGGUGCCUUCCGAGUUCCCUGGAACGGGACGCCAUAGAGGGUGAGAGCCCCGUCUGGUUGGACACCGAGCCUCUGUAAAGCUCCUUCGACGAGUCGAGUAGUUUGGGAAUGCUGCUCUAAAUGGGAGGUAUAUGUCUUCUAAAGCUAAAUAUUGGCCAGAGACCGAUAGCGCACAAGUAGAGUGAUCGAAAGAUGAAAAGCACUUUGAAAAGAGGGUUAAAAAGUACGUGAAAUUGUUGAAAGGGAAGCGCUCAUGACCAGACUUGGGCUUGGCGAAUCAUCCAGCGUUCUCGCUGGUGCACUUCGCCUCGUUCAGGCCAGCAUCAGUUUGUCCCGGGGGAUAAAAGCUUCGGGAACGUGGCUGCUUCGGCAGUGUUAUAGCCCGCUGCAUAAUACCCUGGGGUGGACUGAGGUUCGCGCUCCGCAAGGAUGCUGGCGUAAUGGUCAUCAGCGACCCGUCUUGAAACACGGACCAAGGAGUCGUCUUCGUAUGCGAGUGUUCGGGUGUCAAACCCCUACGCGUAAUGAAAGUGAACGCAGGUGAGAGCUUCGGCGCAUCAUCGACCGAUCCUGAUGUUCUCGGAUGGAUUUGAGUAAGAGCAUACGGGGCCGGACCCGAAAGAAGGUGAACUAUGCCUGUAUAGGGUGAAGCCAGAGGAAACUCUGGUGGAGGCUCGCAGCGGUUCUGACGUGCAAAUCGAUCGUCAAAUAUGGGCAUGGGGGCGAAAGACUAAUCGAA
rnacentral:rRNA from 1 species